rnacentral:tRNA from 1 species
CCCCUGGUGGUCUAGUGGUUAGGAUUUGGCACUUUCAUGGCUGCAGCCCAGGUUCAAUCCCUGGUCUGGGAA